ensembl:snRNA U6 U6 spliceosomal RNA
UUGCUUCAGUAGCACAUAUACUAAAAUUGAAACAAUACAGAGAAGAUUAGCAUGGCCUCUGUGCAAGGAUGACAUGCAAAUUUGCGAAGCAUUCCAUAUGUUU